CUACGGGUGGCAGCAGUCGAGAAUUUUUCUCAAUGGGCGAAAGCCUGAAGGAGCGACGCCGCGUGGGGGAUGAAGGGCUUCGGUCCGUAAACCCCUGUCAUUUGCGAACAAACCUUAUGAUUGAACAUUUCAUGAGCUGAUUGUAGCGAAAGAGGAAGGGACGGCUAACUCUGUGCCGGCAGCCGCGGUAAUACAGAGGUCCCAAGCGUUGUUCGGAUUCACUGGGCGUAAAGGGUGCGCGGGUGGGCUGGCAAGUUCGAUGUGAAAGCCCCGGGCUUAACCCGGGAAUGGCAUUGAAAACUGUCGGUCUGGAGGGUUGGAGGGGGGACUGGAAUUCUUGGUGUAGCAGUGAAAUGCGUAGAUAUCAAGAGGAACACCAGUGGCGAAGGCGAGUCCCUGGACAAUACCUGACACUGAGGCACGAAAGCCAAGGGAGCAAACAGGAUUAGAUACCCUGGUAGUCUUGGCUGUAAACGGUGCGCAUUUGCUGUAAACGGAAUCGACCCCGUUUGUGGCGAAGCUAACGCGAUAAAUGCGCCGCCUGGGAAGUACGGUCGCAAGAUUAAAACUCAAAGAAAUUGACGGGGGCCUGCACAAGCGGUGGAGUAUGUGGCUUAAUUCGAUCAACGCGAAGAACCUUACCUGGCCUUGACAUGCAUUUGGUAGAACCAUGAAAGUGGGACGACCCCGCAAGGGGAGGAUGCACAGGUGCUGCAUGGCUGUCGUCAGCUCGUGUCGUGAGAUGUUGGGUUAAGUCCCGCAACGAGCGCAACCCUUGUGUCCUGUUGCCACUCGAACGAGAGUUCGAAGCACUCUGGACAGACUGCCUCGCUUAAACGAGGAGGAAGGUGGGGAUGACGUCAAGUCAGUAUGGCCCUUACGGCCAGGGCUGCACACGUACUACAAUGCAUGGCACAAAGGGAAGCUAGACCGCAAGGUGGAGCAAAUCCCAAAAAAACCAUGCCCAGUUCAGAUUGUCGUCUGCAACUCGACGACAUGAAGCCGGAAUCGCUAGUAAUGGCGCAUCAGCUACGGCGCCGUGAAUACGUUCCCAGGCCUUGUACACACCGCCCGUCACAUCAUGAAAGCCGGUUGUACCCGAAGUCCACUCUGUUAACCGCAAGGAGACAGUGGCCGAAGGUAUGGCUGGUGAUUGGGAUGAAGUCGUAACAAGGUAGCCGUAGGGGAACCUGCGGCUG
rnacentral:rRNA from 1 species